ACACUCACUUUGGCAUAUGUGCUAAAAUUGGAAUCAUACAGAGAAGAUUAGCAUGACACUUGUACAGGAUGGCACAUAUAUUUGUGAAGCCUUUUGUAUUUUG